GCGGAGUUCUGACACUUUCGCGGCCGGAGCAAAAGUGUUAAGUGCACCGCCUGGGGAGUACGGUCGCAAGGCUAAAACUCAAAGGAAUUGACGGGGGCUCACACAGGCGGUGGAGGAUGUGGCUCAAUUCGAAGCAACGCGAAGAACCUUAUCCUGGGUUUGACAUGCACGGAUGAAACCUGUGAAAGCAGGGGACUGCCCGCAAGGGUGAAACGUGCACAGGUGCUGCAUGGCUGUCGUCAGCUCGUGCUGUGAAGUGUCGGGUUAAGUCCCUUAACGAGCGAAACCCUUGUCGUUAGUUACCAGCGGGUCAUGCCGGGAACUCUAACGAGACUGCCGGUGUUAAACCGGAGGAAGGUGGGGAUGACGUCAAGUCCUCAUGGCCUUUAUGCCCAGGGCUGCACACGUCCUACAAUGGGGUGAACAGAGGGUUGCUAAACCGCGAGGUCACGCUAAUCCCUUAAAACACCUCUCAGUCCGGAUUGCAGGCUGCAAUUCGCCUGCAUGAAGUUGGAAUCGCUAGUAAUCGCGGAUCAGCAUGCCGCGGUGAAUGUGUUCCUGAGCCUUGUACACACCGCCCGUCAAGCCAUGGAAGCUGGUAGUACCCGAAGUCGCUGACCCAACCCUUCGGGGAGGGAGGUGCCGACGGUAAGACCGGUGACUGGGGCUAAGUCGUAACAAGGUAGCCG
rnacentral:rRNA from 1 species